UUCAUGAUGCGAGGCGGAAGCCCAUGAACACAGUACGUUUUCUGUUGUACUUGAGGUAAGAUUACGAGAUUCUACUGUGGUUGUUAUAAUGAACCAGGAUGAUUUCUUACCUUGGACAACUGCUGCUUUGGAUAACUUGUUCAAAUCACUUUUCUGGUAAUGGUUGAGAAAGAAUUAUGGAAGUUCUGGCGAAGCAGAGGAUAGAACGAAAAGAGUCCCUUGUCCGCAACCACAGGAGGAGCGUAUGGACUCCUUGUAAUACAUCAUUAAAGAAAAGGAGGGAAAGAUGGGAUGACUUCGUAGGGCGGCUGUUCGAUGUAUUUUACACUAAGAGGAGCGAGAAGUUCGGCUAAACCACACAAUGAGCCACCUAAUUUAGUAUCGAAUUCGCCAUCUACGAGAUUCAAAUCUAAAACCUUUCACUUACAACUAAAAAGAAAUAGUGUCGGACCAUAAUACUAAGUUGACCCUUUUGGGAAUUUUUUGAUUCUUAUCAAGCAUUCUGCAUUGGGAAGUUCAAUUGUAUAAAAUCCUCAAUGAUUAUUUGAAUAAGAUCAGAAUGUGCUCGUGA